ensembl:lncRNA
GUUUUUUGUUUGUUUUUCCUGAUGUAUAAGUAAUUUUGCUGGGUGUAAACCAGUUAAGGUGGUGGGAUCUAAUUUGUUAAUCAAGUUACAUUGUUAGGAUUCAUUAGUUAAAUGACAGUAAAAUAAUCAAUGAAAGGCAUAGCUGAGAAUGAGAUGAUACUGUGUGUGUGUGUUAUAGGGAUUUCUUUAUUUCAGAUUCUUCAGAAUUUCAGAAAACUAUUUUAUCCCAAAAAGUUGCACCAAGCAAAAAAUUACCUGCACUACACACAGAAAGGUAGAAUGGUUGCCAUUGUGCAUACCACGAAAGAAGCCCUGCAACUUGUUGAAAUGUAUCAUGGCAGUCCAUUGGAUGGACAUCUAGGAAUAUUCAAAAUGAGGAAUAUGCUGACAUCAAAAUGCUAUUGGCCAGAGACGACAAAAGAUAUUGCCAAUUGGGUAUGUAAAGUAACAAAACUAAAUCCUGAAGAACGCUACUUACAAUUGAAAUACAAGUUCAAAAUGUAUAAAAGAAAUAUAAAAAUAUAUUUGGUGUGUAAAUGUGAACUCUGUUCCCUUGCAAUACUGUUUCCAUAACAAAAUGUUAAUAUCAUAUCGAUCCAUCCAAAAUAGGUUGCACAAUGUCUGACUUGCCAGAAAGAGGGAAAGGAAUUAAAUCUGGAUACCACCUUGAAAAGCAUAAAGUGUCUGAUUCCAAAAUUCACCAUUAUUGUUUAUCAUUAUCCAUUGUUAUUUCUGCUAUACAAAGAGGCCUUGUUCUUGAAAUGAGUGGAACACAUACAAGUAGCACAGCAUAGUGCAGCAAUGACCUCUAAUGUGCCUUUGCACUGGCUGGGGAUAUUUCAUCAGCUUUACUCUUGUAUUUUUUUUCCUAACCCAUUCCUGCACUACUUUGGUUUUUUUUGUUUUGUUUUGUUUUUCUUCUGUAUUUAAAAUUGGGCUUUACAUUCUGAUUCUAUGGCUGUUGUAACUAUAUUACAUUGUGUACUCUGCUUAUGACACAUGGGUUUAUUGAGAACAUUUAGUAAGAAAUGUGAAGUAUGAGUAACUGGUACCCUUGCGUGUAGGUCACUUGGAUCUGGGAACUGGUGGGAAUGGAUUUAAUGGACCAAUAUCGGUAUAUACUGACAGCCUGUCAUAAACAGAUAGCUAAGGGUUAAUUUCUUUUUCACCUGAAGCACCUGACCAGAGGACCAAUCAGGAAACCAGAUUUUUUCAACUCUGGGUGGAGGGAAGGUUGUGUCUGAAGUCUUUGUUUUUUUCUGCCUGCUUUUCUCUGAGCUUUGGAGAAGUAGUUUCUGCUUUCUAAUCUUCUGUUUCCAAGUUGUGAGUACCAAAGAGUUUGUUUCUUUUGUAUUUACAUGUCUAUAGUUGCUGGAGUGCUUUGAUUUGUAUUCUUUUUGAAUAAGGCUGUUUAUUCAAUAUUCUUUUAAGCAAUUGACCCUGUAUUUGUCACCUUAAUACAGAGAGACCAUUUGUAUGUAUUUUUUCUUUCUUUUUAUAUAAAGCUUUCUUUUUAAGAUCUGUUGGAGUUUUCUUUACUGGGAAACUUCAG